rnacentral:sRNA from 1 species
CGCUACCCCGGCUGGCUCUCCGAGUGCUACCUCUACUUUAAGUAGAAGUACUUUUACUUCUGCUUGAAGUAGAGGUAGCACUUGGGGAGCCGGCCGGGGUAGAGGGAUUUUUUUUAUUUUUUUUUCAAU